UUCAAAGGAUUUCGGCAUCAUGGAAGCAAUUGCACCGACAGAGUCGGGUGAAGGGCGUUAUCAAGUUGUGAUUAUAUCUGCUAAGACUGCGGGGUAUGGGGCGG